UACGUAGGGCGCAAGCGUUGUCCGGAAUUAUUGGGCGUAAAGAGCUCGUAGGUGGCUUGUCACGUCUGCUGUGAAAACUCGGGGCUCAACCCCGAGCCUGCAGUGGAUACGGGCUAGCUAGAGUGCGGUAGGGGAGAGUGGAAUUCCUGGUGUAGCGGUGAAAUGCGCAGAUAUCAGGAGGAACACCGGUGGCGAAGGCGGGUCUCUGGACCGAUACUGACACUGAGGAGCGAAAGCGUGGGGAGCGAACAGG
rnacentral:rRNA from 1 species